GACGGAGGGUGCGAGCGUUAAUCGGAAUUACUGGGCGUAAAGCGCAUGUAGGCGGCCGAACAAGUCAGGUGUGAAAUCCUCGGGCUUAACCUGGGAAGUGCACUUGAUACUGUCCGGCUAGAGUUUGGGAGAGGAAAGUAGAAUUCCCGGUGUAGCGGUGAAAUGCGUAGAUAUCGGGAGGAAUACCAGUGGUGAAGGCGGCUUUCUGGGCCAAGACUGACGCUGAGGCGCGAAAGCGUGGGGAGCAAACAGG
rnacentral:rRNA from 1 species